rnacentral:rRNA from 1 species
UACGGAGGGUGCAAGCGUUGUUCGGAUUUAUUGGGCGUAAAGCGCGUGUAGGCGGUCUCUUAAGUCUGAUGUGAAAGCCCUGGGCUCAACCUGGGAACUGCAUUCGAGACUGCAUUGCUAGAGUAUGGGAGAGGGAAGUGGAAUUUCAGGUGUAGCGGUGAAAUGCGUAGAUAUCUGAAGGAACAUCAGUGGCGAAAGCGACUUCCUGGACCAAUACUGACGCUCAUGUGCGAAAGCGUGGGGAGCAAACAGG